UUGAGCUUGAUCCCUGGCUCAGAUUGAACGCUGGCGGCAGGCCUAACACAUGCAAGUCGAGCGGCAGCACGGGUACUUGUACCUGGUGGCGAGCGGCGGACGGGUGAGUAAUGCCUAGGAAUCUGCCUGGUAGUGGGGGAUAACGCUCGGAAACGGACGCUAAUACCGCAUACGUCCUACGGGAGAAAGCAGGGGACCUUCGGGCCUUGCGCUAUCAGAUGAGCCUAGGUCGGAUUAGCUAGUUGGUGAGGUAAUGGCUCACCAAGGCGACGAUCCGUAACUGGUCUGAGAGGAUGAUCAGUCACACUGGAACUGAGACACGGUCCAGACUCCUACGGGAGGCAGCAGUGGGGAAUAUUGGACAAUGGGCGAAAGCCUGAUCCAGCCAUGCCGCGUGUGUGAAGAAGGUCUUCGGAUUGUAAAGCACUUUAAGUUGGGAGGAAGGGCAGUUACCUAAUACGUAUCUGUUUUGACGUUACCGACAGAAUAAGCACCGCCAACUUC
rnacentral:rRNA from 1 species